CCAAUCAGCCAUGGGAGCUCAAAACAUGCUUUUGCACUAGCCGGAACUGAACCAGGAAAGAAAACACGAGCCACUAGCAGCGAUCCACAGGUCGGAGUCGGGUAAAAGUUGACGAGGGCGAGGGAUAUUUGAAACGAACACGUGGGAGCGAUCGAAACUGAAUAAGCUGGGAAAAUAGUUAAUAGUACCCUGAGAUCGAGUACGGUUUGUUCUAUAAUCCGCCAUGGCCGGCUCGCGACUGCCACGGCUAGAUCUGGCUUCAAAGCCCACUUCGUGGCCACGAAACUCGCAGCCGCCAUGGCCAGAUCUGCUUCGAAGGUUGAAGCAGACAUUGACAUGAUAAUCGAGGAGGCAAGAACAGGAGAAAUUGGCAACGGCAAAAUUCUCUGUAGGCCUCCUUCCCAUUCGUUUAACAAGCUAAGCUUGCCCGCCUCCUGCUGAACUCACUCUCGAGCCUGCUACUUCGCCAGCAACUCAAGCUUCAACCAUGGCUUGCAUCAAUGCAACGGCGAGACCAGCAACGGUCCCCACUUGGCAUCGCCAGCUCAAAGAGCUCACUUUCGUGGACUCAAGCUCUUCACUCCUUGAGUUCGGCCUCUUCCCAGGCCCAUCAGCUCAAUGGGAAACUUAAUUGCACUAGAAAUGCUUUGGUUCUUCCCGGCAUCAGGGCGGAGAGCAGCACCCGAAGAAUACUUUCCAGAUGCCAAAUUCUACAAAGUAGGAGCGAUUCUCAGGCUCUGCUUAAGAUGGGUAUUCGAGGCAUUACUGUUUCGGAUGUUCGGGGUUUUGGUUCUCAGGGAGGCUCUACAGACAGGCAGGCUGGUAAGCUUCUUGUGCUGUUAAAUACUAAACCUUUCUUUUCUUUUUAAAGUAUACUAUGUUUAGCAAAAAAUGUA